GCCUCUUUAGCUCAGUUGGGAGAGCGUCAGACUGAAGUUCUGAAGGUCCCGUGUUCAAUCCACGGAGGGGGCA
rfam:Conidiobolus coronatus NRRL 28638 unplaced genomic scaffold CONCOscaffold_46, whole genome shotgun sequence.